UGCUCGUAGUGGACCUGCCAAGCCUUUGUAGGUGGACUCCAACCAAGUACAAGAGACAUCUCCAGGAUGACAUUUUCUAAAGCGGGUUUUCACAUGAUGGGAUACUGUGUCAUGAUGGAGUAUCGUGUGUAGAUUGGUAGCAAACAAUAUUUAUCCUUUGCAUGCCUCCUGAUCCAAUCUCAAGCAGCAGGACAUGCAGAGAGGCCUCAGUGACAACCUAUGAAUAUCAUCUGGAGUCUCGCAGCGACAUCACACCUAUAACUCUACAAAUGUAUAUCAAUCAACAGCCCAUAAAGCCAGUGAGAUGUAAAUGCAGCGGGGAACAUUUCCAUGAGCCACCGUCACUCUUUGGGACAGUUCAUACUGACACUU